CCCCAACAACAUGAACCAUGAGCCCUGCGGGUGGCUUUGAUUCCACCAUGUCAUGCAACUCAUCAUGACCCCAAAUCAACAAUUUGCAAAAUUUGGUGAAUCAAUUUGUCAAAUUUUAAGAAAAAUUGAGUUAUUAUUGACUGAGGAAGUGAAGAAAAUGAGGGGUUUCAAGCAAAAGGCAGAUUCUAACAUAUCAAAGAAAACCCAAAUUCACAAAAGGGGGGACCAGAACCCCCUUUGAUUUGCUUUGAUACAAAGCAGUUCAGAACACCUCAAAUAGGAGAAAAAACCCAAUAAAUUGAGAUGUGAUAAACCCCCUAUAAAGCAGAAUUCUCCCUGCAAUUCAUUUUCUUUGUAGAACC
rnacentral:lncRNA from 1 species